rnacentral:rRNA from 1 species
AUGCUCAGUCCAACCCCGUGGCUUCAGGGUGGCCGAGUUCGUCGCAACCAUCAGUUUGGAGACCUGUGUCACUGCCCGUGUUGCUACCAUGGCCACCUGCAUCACUGCGUGCUCCGUCAACAGCCUCCUGCACAAGGAAAAGCAACAGAAGUAGAGGCUUCUGAGAUGCUCUGUUCUAGCGAGGUGGCUGAUUAUGUUUGUCAGUUUGUAAUACUUUGGCCGCAGUUUACUUAUGUAUCUUUUUCUGGAUGGAGCACGACCAGAGCUUAUGUCGGUACGAACUUUGAUUGUGAUGGUCCUAUAAACUCUAUAAUUACUUACCUUUUAUACAAUUCACUUGGAUUGUUUCCCUAUUACCAACUGUGGUACAAAAAUGCACUGUGUUUAUUUUAG